GACAGAGGGUGCAAACGUUGUUCGGAAUUACUGGGCGUAAAGCGCGUGUAGGCGGCCCUGCAAGUCGGAUGUGAAAUCCCACGGCUCAACCGUGGAAGUGCAUUCGAAACUGCAGGGCUAGAGUCCUGGAGAGGAAGGUGGAAUGCUUGGUGUAGAGGUGAAAUUCGUAGAUAUUCGGAAGAACACCAGUGGCGAAGGCGACUCACUGGACACGUAUUGACGCUGAGGUGCGAAAGCGUGGGGAGCAAACAGG
rnacentral:rRNA from 1 species